ACGGAAGGCAGCAGUGGGGAAUAUUGGGCAAUGGGCGAAAGCCUGACCCAGCGACGCCGCGUGAGGGAAGAAGAUCUUCGGAUUGUAAACCUUAGUCAACAGGGAAGAAGCAAGUGACGGUACCUGUGGAGGAAGCCACGGCUAACUACGUGCCAGCAGCCGCGGUAAUACGUAGGUGGCGAGCGUUAUCCGGAUUUACUGGGUGUAAAGGGUGUGUAGGCGGGACUGUAAGUCAGAUGUGAAAACUGCCGGCUCAACUGGCAGCCUGCAUUUGAAACUGCGGUUCUUGAGUGUGGGAGAGGUAAGCGGAAUUCCCGGUGUAGCGGUGAAAUGCGUAGAUAUUGGGAGGAACACCAGUGGCGAAGGCGGCCUGCUGGGCUUUAACUGACGCUGAGGCACGAAAGUAUGGGGAGCAAACAGGAUUAGAUACCCUGGUA
rnacentral:rRNA from 1 species